UACGUAGGGGGCAAGCGUUGUCCGGAAUCAUUGGGCGUAAAGAGCGCGUAGGCGGCCCAGUAAGUCCGCUCUGAAAGUCGGGGGCUCAACCCUCGGAUGCCGAUCGAUACUGUCGGGCUAGAGUCCGGAAGAGGCGAGUGGAAUUCCUGGUGUAGCGGUGAAAUGCGUAGAUAUCGGGAGGAACACCAGUGGCGAAGGCGGCUUUCUGGACCAAUACUGACGCUGAGGUGCGAAAGCGUGGGGAGCAAACAGG
rnacentral:rRNA from 1 species